CCUACGGGUGGCUGCAGUGGGGAAUAUUGCACAAUGGGCGCAAGCCUGAUGCAGCCAUGCCGCGUGUGUGAAGAAGGCCUUCGGGUUGUAAAGCACUUUCAGCGGGGAGGAAGGCGGUGAGGUUAAUAACCUCAUCGAUUGACGUUACCCGCAGAAGAAGCACCGGCUAACUCCGUGCCAGCAGCCGCGGUAAUACGGAGGGUGCAAGCGUUAAUCGGAAUUACUGGGCGUAAAGCGCACGCAGGCGGUCUGUCAAGUCGGAUGUGAAAUCCCCGGGCUCAACCUGGGAACUGCAUUCGAAACUGGCAGGCUAGAGUCUUGUAGAGGGGGGUAGAAUUCCAGGUGUAGCGGUGGAAUGCGUAGAGAUCUGGAGGAAUACCGGUGGCGAAGGCGGCCCCCUGGACAAAGACUGACGCUCAGGUGCGAAAGCGUGGGGAGCAAACAGGAUUAGAUACCCGUGUAGUC
rnacentral:rRNA from 1 species